AAUAGAUACACCUCUUGUGGUCAAUGAGAAACAGAUGAAAGAAGAUGGAAGGAGAAAGUUGGAUGCUGCUCCUAUAGAAUUCUGAUUGGAAAUUUACUUUAUGUCACUGCUACAGGACCUGAAAUUAUGUUUUCAGUAAGCAUGCUUUCAAGAUUUAUGCAUUCUCCAAGUGACGCACUUUGCAGCUGCAAAAAGAGUGCUCAGAUACAUUCAAGGCAUAAUGAGUUAUGGAAUUCAAUAUUCCAGAAAUUCUCAAGCUAAGUUAACGGGUUUUUGUGACAGUGAUUGUGGAGAUUGUGUAGAUGAUAAGAAAAGCACAUCUGGUUAUGCAUUUUCUAUUGGAUUAGGUAAUUUUCUUGGUGUUCAAAGAAGCAACAAUCAGUUGCUCAAUCAUCAGCAGAAGCUAAAUAUGUUCCAGUUGCACUUGCCACAUCUCAAGCACUUUGGCUGAGAAGAAUUCUUAAAGAUACUGAUGAAAAGCAGGGAGAAGCUACGGAUAUAUUUUUGAUAACAAAUCAGCAAUAACAAAUGCAAAGAAUCAGAUUUUUCACAGCAGAACUAGUAGACAUAUAGCAAUCAAGCAUCACUUUAUUAGAGAUGCAAUUGAAGAACAAGAAGUGAAGUUGACGUUCUGCACAUCCAAAGUGCCGGUAGCUGAUAUAUUCACCAAAGCAUUGCCAAGAGGAAAAUUCCAACCGCUGAGAGAAGCAUUAGGAGUUGAAGAAAAACACAUUAAGGGGGAGAGUGUUAUUGUGUUUUUAUCAGAGAAGUCAAUGUAAUUUGUAAAACCAGAGAGGCUAAAAUGUAAUUUGUAGUGUGUUUUAGGAGUCUAUGACUCUGUAUAAAUAGUUUAUAUGACUUAAUAGUGUAUGAAAUGAAGUCUUGUGAAAAAAAAGGUGCUAUUUUUUCCUCGUGCUCUCAUUCAUUUCUAUUUCAUCUGUUUUCCCGUGUUCUUGUUGCUGAUAGUCUGCUGUUUUGAUUACAUCCC
rnacentral:lncRNA from 1 species